rnacentral:rRNA from 1 species
UAGAUUUUGUCCUUCGGGUUACGAAUUGAGACAGGUGGUGCAUGGUUGUCGUCAGCUCGUGUCGUGAGAUGUGGGUUAAGUCCCGCAACGAGCGCAACCCUUGUGUUAGUUGCAAACAGGUCAAGCUGUGCACUCUAGACAGACUGCCGUGGACAACACGGAGGAAGGUGGGGAUGACGUCAAAUCAUCAUGCCCCUUAUGAUCUGGGCUACACACGUGCUACAAUGGCCGGUACAACGGGCAGCGAAGGAGCGAUCCGGAGCGAAUCCUAAAAAGCCGGUCCCAGUUCGGAUUGCAGGCUGAAACUCGCCUACAUGAAGUUGGAGUUGCUAGUAAUCGCGAAUCAGAAUGUCGCGGUGAAUGCGUUCCCGGGUCUU